rnacentral:lncRNA from 1 species
GGGAGGAGCAUGGUUCCGGUGGCUUCAGGCACAGACUUCUGCCAGGCCUGCAGACAGAGCUCAGGAUAAAGAGCCAAGGGUGUGGCCUGUCUCGAGGCCCAUAGAUGUGCGCUCUGCAGGUGGAAUGGCCGUCCGGUGCUUACUUUGACUGUCCUCGGGUCCCGAGUCUUCUGGUGGUUAACUGAGGAAACUGCUGCCUUAUGAUCUAGCAGAGGAUGAUAAUUGCUGUUGCCCAGGACAACCACACCAGUUCACAAGAAAUCCGUGAAGAGAGAGCAUCUCUCAAGGUGAAAACAUAACCAUGAGGCCCCUUUCCUUGGGGUUUACGGAGAUGAUGUUUGUGGAGAGGCAUGACAGGUCAGGGGUUACGUGCAAGAACUCUGGAACUCGACUACCUGAAUUGAAUGCAAGCUCAGGCAUUGGUUAGGCUGG